GUCAACGUCGCGGCUGCGGCGGCGGCACUCACUUCUCUGUGUGCUCUCAUGCGAGAAAGACGCGUUAGCGAUACGAUUGUAUCUACAUAGUUCCUUUGUUUGUUUGUUCGAUUUAUAGUUCAUUACUUGUGUUAAGUAAGCUCGAGGACGCUAAACCGUAAUGCUGGACGACGUCGUUGAAAUCUGCUGGGGAGUGAGUGUUGAGAAUCAGCGAGCAGAAUUCGAGCGACUGCAGAGAGCACGAUGGGACUGUUCUUCCCUCUCUCCCCGUCGAACUACGGCCAGCGUUGUCUCACAUUUGAGUUUUUUUUUAACAAUUACUAUGUGACGGUGUUUUAGCAAUCAUUCGAACCCUGUAGCGCGAGCUGAACCUAAUAAAAAAGCUUCAUUUACAUACACGUUA